rnacentral:rRNA from 1 species
GACGAACCGUGCGAACGUUAUUCGGAAUCACUGGGCUUAAAGCGCGUGUAGGCGGGGCGGCACGUCGGUCGCUGAAAUCCCCCGGCUUAACCGGGGAACGGGCGCCGAUACGACCGUCCUGGAGGAACGUAGGGGGAGCUGGAACUUCCGGUGGAGCGGUGAAAUGCGUUGAGAUCGGAAGGAACGCCCGUGGCGAAAGCGAGCUCCUGGACGUUUUCUGACGCUGAGGUACGAAAGCCAGGGGAGCAAACGGG